rnacentral:rRNA from 1 species
GAUGAACGCUCGCGGCAGGCCUAAUACAUGCAAGUCGAACGGGAUCCAGAUCAAAGCUUGCUUUGGUCUGGUGAGAGUGGCGCACGGGUGCGUAACGCGUGAGCAACCUACCCUUGUCAGGGGGAUAGCCCGGCGAAAGUCGGAUUAAUACCGCAUGACAUCAUUGAGAGGCAUCUUUCGAUGAUCAAAGAUUUAUCGGACAAGGAUGGGCUCGCGUGACAUUAGCUAGUUGGUAAGGUAACGGCUUACCAAGGCUGCGAUGUCUAGGGGCUCUGAGAGGAGAAUCCCCCACACUGGUACUGGGACACGGACCAGACUCCUACGGGAGGCAGCAGUAAGGAAUAUUGGUCAAUGGACGGAAGUCUGAACCAGCCAUGCCGCGUGCAGGAAGACGGCCCUAUGGGUGGUAAACUGCUUUUAUACGGGAACAAACGUCGGUACGUGUACCGGUCUGAGUGUACCGUAAGAAUAAGGAUCGGCUAACUCCGUG